rnacentral:rRNA from 1 species
CCUACGGGAGGCAGCAGUGGGGGAUAUUGCACAAUGGGGGGAACCCUGAUGCAGCGACGCCGCGUGGGUGAAGAAGCGCCUCGGCGCGUAAAGCCCUGUCAGCAGGGAAGAAAAUGACGGUACCUGAAGCAGAAGCCGCGGCUAACUACGGGCCGGCAGCCGCGGUAAUACGUUGGGAGCAAGCGUUAUCCGGAUUUACUGGGGGUAAAGGGGGCGCAGACGGCGCUGCAAGCCAGGAGUGAAAGGCCGGGGCCCAACCCCGGGACUGCUCUUGGAACUGCGUGGCUGGAGUGCAGGAGGGGCAGGCGGAAUGCCUGGUGUAGCGGUGAAAUGCGUAGAUAUCGGGAGGAACACCGGUGGCGAAGGCGGCCUGCUGGACUGCAACUGACGUUGAGGCCCGAAAGCGUGGGGAGCGAACAGGAUUAGAUACCCCAGUAGUC